AAACUCAAAGGAAUUGACGGGGACCCGCACAAGCGGUGGAGCAUGUGGUUUAAUUCGAAGCAACGCGAAGAACCUUACCAAAUCUUGACAUCCUUUGACAACUCUAGAGAUAGAGCCUUCCCCUUCGGGGGACAAAGUGACAGGUGGUGCAUGGUUGUCGUCAGCUCGUGUCGUGAGAUGUUGGGUUAAGUCCCGCAACGAGCGCAACCCUUAAGCUUAGUUGCCAUCAUUAAGUUGGGCACUCUAAGUUGACUGCCGGUGACAAACCGGAGGAAGGUGGGGAUGACGUCAAAUCAUCAUGCCCCUUAUGAUUUGGGCUACACACGUGCUACAAUGGACAAUACAAAGGGCAGCGAAACCGCGAGGUCAAGCAAAUCCCAUAAAGUUGUUCUCAGUUCGGAUUGUAGUCUGCAACUCGACUACAUGAAGCUGGAAUCGCUAGUAAUCGUAGAUCAGCAUGCUACGGUGAAUACGUUCCCGGGUCUUGUACACACCGCCCGUCACACCACGAGAGUUUGUAACACCCGAAGCCGGUGGAGUAACCUUUUAGGAGCUAGCCGUCGAAGGUGGGACAAAUGAUUGGGGUGAAGUCGUAACAAGGUAGCCGUAUCGGAAGGUGCGGCUGGAUCACCUCCUUUCUAAGGA
rnacentral:rRNA from 2 species